UCGGCCUCUGCCCCGCGGGGCUUCACCGCGCCAAAGCACUCACCUCGGCUGGGCUGCGCUCCCCGCGGGCCUGCGCCGAGCCCGAUAAAUGGUAUGCUAUGACUAGAGGGACAAGGAUGCUGAAGCCAGUUGGAUUACUACAUCCUGCCUCAGAUGAAUUAGCUGACUAGAGGCCUGAAGAUUCUGCCAUCCCAAGCUGCUGGUGAAAUACCAGAUAGCCUUUAAGGAGACAUGUCUGUCAAUUAAGGGAGAUCUGCUUGGAUGCUAGCUUCUCAAGUUUUCAAUAGAACAUCAGUUUGAGUUUGGUUU